UACGAAGGGGGCUAGCGUUGCUCGGAUUGACUGGGCGUAAAGGGUGCGUAGGUGGGCAGGUAAGUCAGUGGUGAAAUCUCCGGGCUUAACCCGGAAACUGCCGUUGAUACUAUCUGUCUUGAAUAUAGUGGAGGUGAGCGGAAUAUGUCAUGUAGCGGUGAAAUGCUUAGAUAUGACAUAGAACAUCGAUUGCGAAGGCAGCUCGCUACGCCAUUAUUGACACUGAGGCACGAAAGCGUGGGGAUCAAACAGG
rnacentral:rRNA from 1 species